UAGGGUGGCAAUACUGAAGGGGAAACACCCGGUUCCAUACCGAACCCGGAAGUUAAGCCCUUAGAGGCCGAUGAUACUCCUCCUUUCAGGAGCGGGAAAGUAGGUAGCUGCCCUUU
rnacentral:rRNA from 1 species